UACUGCUAUCAGUGUUCGAUUAAGCCAUGCGAGUUAAAUGUUCUUCGUGAACAUGGCGUACUGCUCAGUAACACGUGGAUAACCUGCCCUAAGGUCCGGCAUAACCCCGGGAAACUGGGGAUAAUACCGGAUAAACCAUAGAUACUGGAAUGUUCUGUGGUUAAAAGUUCCGGCGCCUUAGGAUGGAUCUGCGGCCUAUCAGGUAGUAGUGGGUGUAAAGUACCUACUAGCCGACGACGGGUACGGGUUGUGAGAGCAAGAGCCCGGAGAUGGAUUCUGAGACAUGAAUCCAGGCCCUACGGGGCGCAGCAGGCGCGAAAUCUUUACAAUGCGGGAAACCGCGAUAAGGGGACACUGAGUGCCAGCAUAUUAUGUUGGCUGUCCACCUGUAUAAAUCACAGGUGUUAGCAAGGGCCGGGCAAGACCGGUGCCAGCCGCCGCGGUAACACCGGCGGCCCGAGUGGUAGCCACUAUUAUUGGGUCUAAAGGGUCCGUAGCCGGUUUGAUCAGUCUUCCGGGAAAUCUGACAGCUCAACUGUUAGGCUUCCGGGGGAUACUGUCA
rnacentral:rRNA from 1 species